rnacentral:tRNA from 1 species
GGAAGAUGCCGCUGAAUGGACGGCAACUGCUCUUGAAAAGCAGGGCAGGAUAACACCUGGGGGUUCGAGUCCUCCAUCUUCCU